AUUGAACGCUGGCGUCAUGCCUUACACAUGCAAGUCGAACGGCAGCACGGGAGCAAUCCUGGUGGCGAGUGGCGAACGGGUGAGUAAUAUAUCGGAACGUGCCCAGUAGUGGGGGAUAACUGCUCGAAAGAGCAGCUAAUACCGCAUACGACCUGAGGGUGAAAGGGGGGGAUCGCAAGACCUCUCGCUAUUGGAGCGGCCGAUAUCAGAUUAGCUAGUUGGUGGGGUAAAGGCCUACCAAGGCAACGAUCUGUAGUUGGUCUGAGAGGACGACCAGCCACACUGGGACUGAGACACGGCCCAGAGUCCUACGGGAGGCAGCAGUGGGGAAUUUUGGACAAUGGGCGCAAGCCUGAUCCAGCAAUGCCGCGUGCAGGAAGAAGGCCUUCGGGUUGUAAACUGCUUUUGUCAGGGAAGAAAUCCUCUAGGUUAAUACCCUUGGGGGGAUGACGGUACCUGAAGAAUAAGCACCGGCUAACUACGUGCCAGCCGCCGCGGUAAUAC
rnacentral:rRNA from 1 species